CAGUAGCCGCGGGAAUACGGAGGGUGCAAGCGUUAAUCGGAAUUACUGGGCGUAAAGCGUACGUAGGCGGCUUUGUAAGUUAGAUGUGAAAUCCCCGGGCUCAACCUGGGAACUGCAUUUGAGACUGUAUGGCUAGAGUGUGUCAGAGGGGGGUAGAAUUCCACGUGUAGCAGUGAAAUGCGUAGAUAUGUGGAGGGAUACCGAUGGCGAAGGCAGCCCCCUGGGAUAACACUGACGCUCAUGCACGAAAGCGUGGGGAGCAAACAGGAUUAGAGACCCCUGUAGUCCCUGUCUCUUAUAC
rnacentral:rRNA from 1 species